UUGAUUUAUACGUUCGCACCAAUUUAAUUAUAUAUGUAAUAGUUACUGAUUUUUAAUUAUUCAAUAUAUAUUUAUUAUUUCAUAAUAAUAUGUAAGAACAUAUAAUACAUAAAAUAAUUUAUAUAUAUAAUGUUUAUCCCGCGCGGGUCUUAAUUUAGUUAUAUACUAUAUUCUACGACUUUCUAUCUUGUUAAAUAGUCUUUGCAGUUAACCCGUAUGCGUUCAUCAUUAUCAUUAGUAGCAGAUAAAUCGCCAAAUGUAGUUACAGAUGCAAAUUAGCAAUAUAAUUGGAGAAAAUCUUCAAGCUAGCGGACUGAUUACAAAUGUCCCAAUUGUGGAGCUUUGGAGUCAGCCAUUCAUCUACUCUUUCUCUGUCCAUAUGCUGUGAAGGUAUUGGCUCUCGUCCCCCUUCAGAUGCUGCAUGCAUUGUCAUCUGUCUCCCACCAACAGCAAUAAGCUCGGUCAUCUUCUCAUGGGUAGGCUAGCAUCUAUGGAAUUGAAGAAACCGGUUUCUUUUACAGGAGAUAAGUACAUGAAUAUUCUAGUUCCUUGUAUAUAGGAGUAUCUUGUAUAUUGUUAGAGUAUAUCUCCUUUCUAUGUAUAUAUAUUGUACUCCUCUCAAUUGUCAAUACAACACAUUACCCACAUCUUGUUAAAUCAACAUUACUCUCUACAUGGUAUUAGAGUCGUCUUGUUAAAUCAACAGAUCCUCCGAAACUUUUUUUUCACGAAGAUUGAUACUUCAUAUUCUUUUUUUUGAAUGAAUGUAAAUAAUAUUCAAGCAAAAAACUUUAUCUUCUUCAAACAUCAUUCCAGGCUAAUCUCAACCGUGAUCCGCAAAACCCUAUUAUGGCGGUCAAAAUGGUGAAUAUCACCAAACUCUCAUCAACAAACUAUCUAACUUGGAGUGUGCAAAUCACAUCUCUUCUCAGAGGUUAUAAUCUUGUCAAGACAACACUACUAUUCCACCUCCUGGGAUAAUCAAUGUCAACGAUGUUCUCACUCCAAACCCUGCUCUCACGUUGAUAGCGACAUAACAAUAUUCUCUUCAACGGUCUCAUGGGUGCUAUUGAGACUCCGAUUCAACCACUUAUCGCUACAUCCAUGUCAACUCUUGAGGCUUGGAACACUCUAUCUUGCUACGUAUGGCAAACCAACACGGGGGGGGGGGGGGGAGAAGUAUGGAGGUUUUUGUGAGGAAAGACUGUUUCAUGAAACUGAACAUGGCGAGAGAUGAAGAUUUUGGUGGAGGAAGGAUUAAACCAGAGGUAGGCACUCUGAGUUUGGGAGUAACCUAAGAAGAUGCAGGGAGUGGAGCGAGGUUCAAGUUUUUGUUGAUGACGUUGUCGUCACAGGCAACAACUCUGCAGCGGUCGAGAAAUUCACAUAAUGCAUGGGCAUCCGAUUCUCUCUUAACGACUUAGGCUCUCUCGGUUAUUUUCUGGGAAUUGAAGCACAUCGCACUGCUGAGGGGAUCCUUCUCACUCAACAAAAAUACAUCACAGACUUGUUAGCUCAUACUAAAAUGCUUGAUGCUAAUCCAGUCUCAACUCCGAUGGCCUCCGAUGGCCUCCGAUGGCCUCCAAUUGUCACUUGCAACUUACUUCUCGUACACCUCUCAUUGAUGGUCGUGAGUAUUGUAAACUUGUUGGAAGCUAGCAGUAUCUUCAUUUUACCAGAUCAGAUGUGGCUUUUGCUGUGAACAAGUUUUCACAAUUUAUGCAUCAUCCGUCGGAUGAACAGUGGCAGGCAGCAAAACGUGUUCUUCGCUAUCUCUCUGGAACUCGCGAUCAAGGCAUCUUUCUUCGCAGCAACAACACUCUCAACCUUCAUGCCUUCUCGUACUCCGACUGGUCUGGAAAUCGGGAUGAUUAUACUUCAACAGGAGUAUACAUUGUUUCUCUGGCUCUCAUCAUGUGGUCUGGUCCUCAAAGAAACAAAAGACUGUUGCUCGUUCUUCAACUGAAGCUGAGUACAGGUCUAUAGCUGACACUGCCGCUGAAGUUUGCUGGAUGUCAUAUCUUCUGUCUGAAUUGGGAGUCUCUACUGCGUCUCAACCUGUCAUUUUUUUUUGACAAUGUGGGUGCUAUAUAUCUUGCCGCAAACCAUGUUUUUCACUCUCGCAUGAAGCACGUGGCGCUUGACUAUCAUUUUGUUCGUCAUAUGGUUCAGUCAAAGUUCCUCAGAGUCACUCAUGUAUCUUCUAAAGAUCAGCUAGCCGAUAUACUUACUAAACUGUUACCUCGUCUGCCUCUACAACAACUCAAUUCCAAGAUUGGGCUCUCAUUCGGCCGCUCAUCUUGCGGGGGCGUAUAUGAGAUAAAUACAUGAGUAUUCUAGUUCUUUUAUAUAGAAGUAUCUUGUAUAUGCUCUGUAGAUAAGCUCUAGAGAUCCUACGUGAGCUCCUCUAGUAUAUAUAUAUAUAUAUAUAUAUAUAUAUAUAUUAUAUUCCUGUCUAUUAUCAAUACAACACAUUAUCCAUAUCUCUCUACGUCUUUUUGAGAACAGAUCAGUAGCACCUGCACCGGAAACAGUCCUUAAGGCAGUUCUUCGAGCCCUCGAAUGGCAGUCUGCUCAAGCUGAGGUACGACAGAACAGGCCUCCUCUUCACAUCUCAGCUCCGCCUCUCCUUGCAAUACCACCCGGAACAGUAUGAUAAUCUCCGACAUGGAUGCCGACGGAUCUCUGUAAUGGAGAUGAACACUGAUGAAGUUAUGUGCCGCCUCUGUCAUCGACGCCGCAUCUUCAGUGCCGCGUACGAGAAGCGACAUUCCGAGAUAAAUCAAAAAGGGACACAACAAAGACUUCUGUUGUCGACACCGUAGUUUCAGUGGCAAGUAUCUUGGGAGAGGGAGGAAGAAACAAUGUUGUUGUCGGGGAUAUGUGAGGUGCGGAUGUGACUGCUGUGAAUAGAGGAUGUGUGGAUGUGAUUGAUGUGGACGGCAGUUGCGUGGAUGUGGUGGUUGUGGACAUGAGAGCCGGGGGUCAAGUGCGAUGUGGUCAGAUAAAAAGUGAUCAGAUGAAAUAUAGAUAACAAUGAAGAUCUCGCUUGCAUCUUCCAUGCUCCGUGUUAGUUUCAAUGGCGAGUGUGGAGAUGUGUGAGGUGCAGAUGUGACUGCUCUGGACAGAGGAUGUGUGGAUAUGAUCGGUGUGGACGGCAAUUGUAUGGAUGUGGUGGCUGUGAACAUGUGAGUUAGGGGGGGGGGGUCAAGUACGCAGUGGUCAGAUAAGAGAUGGUCAGUUGAGAUAUGGAUAACAGUGAAGAUCCCGCCUGCGUCUUCCAUGCUCUGGGUAUUUACAAAAUUCAUAUAAGAUGAUAGUUUCUACACUUUGUAAACAUUGAUAUUUCUUUUCGCAUUAUACAAUAAAUUUUUUGUUCGGAUACUUUUUGUAUAGAAACCAGAAGAAAGACUAUUAGUAUAAAA